rnacentral:lncRNA from 10 species
UUUAUGUGCUAAAAUUCUUACUUUAUGUUUGGAAUAUCUUUUACAUACAAUCCAUGAGGAAUGGGUUUAAAUGGGUUCUAUUUAAAAUUUGAAGUAUCCAGAAAUAUGUAGUAGAGCAGCUGCCUUGAAAUAACUUCCUGCAUCAUUUUACUCUUGAAACAAAUCAUCUCAUUUAUCUAAGUAUUGACUAUAAAAGUCAAUGGAAAAGUUGAUCUUUCAAUACUUGUUAUAGGAAUUGAUAAUAUUAAGUCUAUGUGUAUUUGGUGGGGAGUGACAUCUUAUUUUUCUUCCUCAGGAAGCAUUUAAUGUCAGUCUGUUCUGGAAGAAUAUGGAUAACAAAGACCAAACAACAAAGACGACCUUUCUUCCACCUUGCUUCAUGGUUGUAUUAGCUUAAUGAGGUGGUGUCAGAAGUGGGAUUUGAAGUAGAGCUUCCAGAAACUUCCAGGAGCACUGAGUGACCAGGCAAGGUAUCUGCCAGGCCCACUGUGUGGAUUGUGCUCUUGCAGCAACUGGGGAUCAUGGUAAGUGCUCUCUCAGAUUUUAAAGCUCCACAGAUUUUUGUUUUGAGUUCCCUGAGUUUGAGAAAAUUUCUGAUCCAAAUUGGGUAUGAAAGUU